rnacentral:lncRNA from 1 species
CUCCACUAGCUCGGUGAGGUACAUACUAUGCCCAUUUAACAGAUGAGGAAACAGAUGGUCAGAGAGCUCAGAUAAGAAGCCCAGGGUCUCACCAUGUAGAAUCUGGAUGCAGGGCCAAGUUGUCUUGGAACUGGAAUUUGGAACACCUGACAUGCUUGGUUCUUUAUUUCCUGCUGUUUCCUGAGGGAACUGACCUGCCCAAGCAGGACCAAAAGGCUACCCCAUGAAGAAAAGCUCUGCUACUGGAUCAUUGUUCUCAUCUCUCUCUGGGUCUCUGCUCAGUGGAGGCAGAAAAGAUGCUUUUCCAUUUCUAUUGCCUGUCUUCCUCUCCAUUCACAUGCACUUUCCCACUGACUACAGUAAGGAUGUAAGAAACACCCCCAUAGAGUUGAUACAAUCAAGUUUCCUUCUGCCGGAAUGUCAGCAUCUGGAAUGGCACCAAAGGAUUUGAGAAGAAUGAUGCCAGGACACCAGAUUUUCAAACAAGCAUCUAUCAGCCAUGCGGUUGCUCUGAAGUCACAUGGUCAGCCUGCCAUUUGGGGUAUCAUAGUUUCUAUCACAAUGGAGCUGGGUUGGAUUUCGUGCUGGCAUCUCUUAAGGCAAAUUCACAUUCGACAGGCCUCUGCAGAUUGGAGCAGAAGCAGCAGCUCCCUGGGCAGCCCAGUUCUAGGUGUAAUAAAAAGAAAAGCAGCAAAUGCAGAUCACAUACAAAAAUCCUUACACCAGGAAUUCCGGAAAACCAUUUAGAAAACCACCUGCACUGCUUGUGGGCCAGCUGGCUCCCACAGAUGAAAAAAUCCAGGGGUAGAAGGCUGACUAAAUCCCACCUUAGCUUUCAUUGCAAGGACAUGAGUGUUUGCAAUUUCCUAAUGACGAUGGUA